rnacentral:rRNA from 1 species
GACGAACGCUGGCGGCGUGCUUAACACAUGCAAGUCGAACGGAAAGGCCCUGCUUUUGUGAGGUGCUCGAGUGGCGAACGGGUGAGUAACACGUGAGUAACCUGCCCUUGACUUUGGGAUAACUUCAGGAAACUGGGGCUAAUACCGGAUAGGAGCUCCUGCUGCAUGGUGGGGGUUGGAAAGUUUCGGCGGUUGGGGAUGGACUCGCGGCUUAUCAGCUUGUUGGUGGGGUAGUGGCUUACCAAGGCUUUGACGGGUAGCCGGCCUGAGAGGGUGACCGGCCACAGUGGGACUGAGAUACGGCCCAGACUCCUACGGGAGGCAGCAGUGGGGAAUAUUGCACAAUGGGCGGAAGCCUGAUGCAGCAACGCCGCGUGCGGGAUGACGGCCUUCGGGUUGUAAACCGCUUUCGCCUGUGACGAAGCGUGAGUGACGGUAAUGGGUAAAGAAGCACCGGCUAACUACGUG